CAGUCGCCGCGGUAAUACGAAGGGAGCUAGCGUUGCUCGGAAUGACUGGGCGUAAAGGGCGCGUAGGCGGCGAUCAAAGUCAGGCGUGAAAUUCCUGGGCUCAACCUGGGGGCUGCGCUUGAUACUUGGUUGCUUGAGUGGGGAAGAGGGUCGUGGAAUUCCCAGUGUAGAGGUGAAAUUCGUAGAUAUUGGGAAGAACACCGGUGGCGAAGGCGGCGACCUGGUCCUUGACUGACGCUGAGGCGCGAAAGCGUGGGGAGCAAACAGGAUUAGAUACCCCCGUAGUCCCUGUCUCUUAUAU
rnacentral:rRNA from 1 species